UCCCGGAGGAGAUCACCCAGCUCGUCAUGCUUGAGCACUUUUUCAAUGUACUCCCCAACGAGAAGGUGACGACGCAUUCGUAUGUCAAUCCAUAUCAACUUUCAAUGCCAUUGACUGUGCCUACCAUGAUGACCAUGGGUAAUGGGGAAUCAGGGUUCGAUUCCGUACAGGGAUCCUGACCGACGGCUACCACAUGCAAGGAAGGUAGCAGGCGCGCAAAUGACCCACUCCUGAUGCGGGAAGGUAGUGACGACAAAUAACAAAACAGGACUGUUUAGAGGCCCUGUAAUUGUAAUGAGUCCACUUGAAAUCCUUUAACUCUGAUCAAUUGGAGGGAAGUCUGGUGCAGAGCCACUGACCCAUGUGUGCUGCAGCUGAAACUCCACUA
rnacentral:rRNA from 1 species